UUCAAGGAAGGCUGCCCUUCCUCUGAGGUGGGGGUGAAGCAGACAGUCAGGAGUUUUCCUUCUGUGUUGAGCAUCAAGAGCUGAAGGUGACAAGAUGUGAUCAUUAUCCCUCUGAAGAGUCCCAUUGGUCCUUUGAACCAGGAGUCCUGCAGAGUGGCCUCAUGGGAUAUCCGCUUGGGGAACACUAUGUGGAUUGUCUCAGCCGGCGCUGCAUCUUGAGGCCAGCAAAGGUGGACACCGUGCCAUGCUGAGGACUGCAGACCAGAUGCAGGAUGUGAUGGAACCAACUCACCCCUGCAAGAGCUACUACCAUGCUAUGUGGACUUUCCAUCUCCAAAACUGUAAGCA
ensembl:lncRNA